UACAGAGGUCUCAAGCGUUGUUCGGAUUCAUUGGGCGUAAAGGGCGCGUAGGCGGAUAGUACAGUCAGGCGUGAAAUUCCUGGGCUCAACCUGGGGGCUGCGUUUGAUACGUGUUGUCUGGAGUUCGGAAGAGGGUCGUGGAAUUCCCAGUGUAGAGGUGAAAUUCGUAGAUAUUGGGAAGAACACCGGUGGCGAAGGCGGCGACCUGGGCCGAUACUGACGCUGAGGAGCGAAAGCGUGGGGAGCAAACAGG
rnacentral:rRNA from 1 species